rnacentral:rRNA from 1 species
CAGCUUUAUAGAUGGCGUUAAAGCUUAUUUAGUACAAGACAGUACAAAGGAUUUUUGUAAAAUAAUUCUAAAUUGUAAAAAAUUUAUAGGAAAAUUUCAUUUUAAUGAAAGUUAUAAUGUUAAAAUUAGUAGAGAAUAAAGUGAUAUUACUUGUAAAUUAAUCAAUCCUAACGUUGGAUGGAACAAUAAUUUUAAAUCAGGAAAUUAGUUUGUUUUAAUUGUCUGCUAACUCAAGAAAUAUAACAAUAAAAUAAUUAAGGGAAAGGAACUCGGCAAAUAAAUAUUUNNNNNNNNNNNNNNNNNNNNCGCUCUUUGUAAAGAAUCUAAUAUAUAAAGGGUACUGCCUGCCCAGUGACUUAGUUAAAUGGCCGCGGUAUUUUGACCGUGCAAAGGUAGCAUAAUCAUUUGCCUCUUAAAUGGGGGCUGGUAUGAAUGGCAAGACGGAAAUUAGGCUGUCUCUCUCUUAUAUUUUGAAAUUAAUAUUUUUGUGAAGAAGCAAAAAUGGAGCCGUAGGACGAGAAGACCCUAUCGAGCUUUAGUAUAUAUAAAAUACAAAUUUAUUUAUUCUGUUUUGUUGCUAAUAUAAUUGUUAAUAACAGUUUUUAUGUUUUUACUCUUAGAGACAGGAAAAGUUGUGAAUUUGAUACUUAGGUUGGGGCAACCACGGAGAAUAAAUAUCCUCCGUUAGUUUAUUGAGAAAAAAAAUAUUUUUUCAAUAUAUUUUUGUUUAAUAAAUGAUCCAUCUUUAAUGGUGAUCAAAAGAAUAAGUUACCGUAGGGAUAACAGCGUAAUUUUUUUGGAGAGUUCAUAUUGAUAAAAAAGUUUGCGACCUCGAUGUUGGAUCGGGAUAUCCUGGGGAUGUAGCAGUUCCUAAUGGUUGGUCUGUUCGACCAUUAAAAUCCU